CUCCCCCGGCUCCCCUGUCUGUCCACGUGUCCAUUCCGCAUUCCCAGCCUGGGGGCGCGCGCGGCUCCUUAAUGAGAGCCGGCCCAGGGCUGGCCUCGCCGUUCAGUUCUACUCCGCUUUACAUUUAAUUUUUUUCCCCCUCUGAGAUUAAGGUUGGUGCGAUCCGAGAGGGGUCGGUCGGCUGCUGCGACUGCGGUUCUCCUGAGCAGACGCCACAGCCGAAGCCGACCGAGGUCCCUUUUCAGGGAAUGCCAGCUCCCCGCAGGGUGCCGGAGAUGUUUUCGGUGGUUCUAUCCGAGGCGCGGGUAGGGGGCAGCCUCCCACAGCCUCUGAGUCCUCCUGGGUCUGCAGGGCACCCGGUGGGAAUCAGACAAGCUGCCGCGCCCAGCUCCUCUGGUUGGAGCUCCUCGGGACAAUAGUCCUUUGGAUGUGAGCCCCACGCCAGCGGCCCCAUUUCAAUUUAAUCACCUGUUCAAACGCCUUGUCUCCAAAUACAGCUGCAUUCUGUUACUUAGAGGCAAAACUUCAAUGUGUCAAUUUUAAGAGUUCACAAUUUAGCUCCUAACAGCAUCUGUAACUCACCAUCCACACUGGGGUGUCCCUGAGAGGAAGAGGAAUGCUCAGAAUAAUGAUGUCGGAGCAGCAGCCUUACAUGAGCAAUCGAGGGAAACCAGAACACUGGGCGCGAGAAAAAAAAACCCACGGCACACAGAGAGCUAGUGAUGGACCUCAAGACCCACAGGCAUUUACUUGACAGUCAAGAAGAUGACAGACGCUAGAGAAAGUAGCCAAGGAGCUAAAGGGAUCUGCAACCCUAUAGGUGGAACAACAUUAUGAACUAACCAGUACCCCGGAGCUCUUGACUCUAGCUGCAUAUAUAUCAAAAGAUGGCCUAGUUGGCCAUCACUGGAAAGAGAGGCCCAUUGGACUUGCAAACUUUAUAUGCCCCAGUACAGGGGAACACCAGGGCCAAAAAGGGGGAGUGGGUGGGCAGGGGAGUGGGGGUGGGUGGAUAUGGGGGACUUUUGGUAUAGCAUUGGAAAUGUAAAUGAGCUAAAUACCUAAUAAAAAAUGGAAAAUAAAAUAAAA